rnacentral:lncRNA from 1 species
UCACUUCCCCUGAAAAGUAGAUUUUAAAUAUGUACUGUUAAUAAAAUAUGCAUUCAAUAUGAAAAGUUCCCUCCUGUGGUCUGUAGGUGGGACAUGUAAAUAUUCUUUACGAAUACUUUAAAAAGAAACAAAACCCUUUCCAAUGUGGCAAAUAUGUAUGGCUGCCAAAUUUCUCUAGCAGCAAAGAAUCUCUAGAAGUGUGGGUCAUGGCAACCUCCUCCUACAGGCAUAGAAUCGACGUUUACCCAUACUCCUAUGGCCACCGACUCCCUGUAUACCGUUCUAGCAGAUAGCAUCAUGGCAGCACCACCACAGCCGUCUGUGCUCAGCCAAUGCACAAGGCAGCUGUGCUGUUCAGCAGAUCCCAAUGGCUUCAGUCAGUUUAUCCAGAAUAUCACCAACAUUUCACUUGUCAGGGUACAACUCUUAUAGUACACUCAUGCCCAAGUUUAAUGGACUAAACCAGGGGAGUAUUGGUCUGACAAGCUGAUUUUUGUAAUUAUCAAUGAUAAAAAACUAGUGUGAAUACCAAGCUAAUAUCAAAUUAUGUUAUGAAAAACAGUAAAAAAUACAGUACUACCUCUAAUCAAACACACUAUCCAAUCUAACAGUGUAAAGUAUCUCAUUUCCUCAAUACUGUAAAUAUACAUCAAGAGAAUACUUCACAGCAUAUUCAGAAGUUUAGAUUUUGCCUUAUGAACAUCUGAAACUUUGAUUUUUACAUAAUACUCUUCACAUACACACUUUGCACAUGCAUUACUUUCCAACAUUUUAAUCAUCUCAAGCUCAAGUACUACAAUUUCCUUUUUUAACUUUUUCUCCAGUUGACAUGGUUGUAGAAAAUUAUGAUAAUUCAAGUGCAACAAGAGCAAAAAGCAUGCACUGCUACAGUUCUCCAUGUGGACUAAGUAUUCUGAGCCUAAGUCCAUCUGGAUGGGGUUGCUUUGAUUAAUUCCCUGGCCACGACAAUGCCAUAUCAGUCCUUACACACAUUUCUUUGUCUCAUUUAUCAACUAUUUACUACUACUUAUGGAUUUUGAUUACCAUAUAUAUAUAUAUAUAUAUAUAUAUAUAUAUAUAUAUAUAUAUAUAUAUAUAUAUAUAUGUAUAAUUAUGUGCAUUCUAAUAAGGUUACAUAGCGUAAUGAAAGUACAGGUUUCCAUCUCUUCACGAUUGAGUCAUAUUUCUGAAAACCCGAUCAAAUAAUGAACGAUUGGAUACUGAACUUAAGGUUUAAUGGGAUCUAAUUUAAUGGGGAGAGUAACCCAGGCCUAGCAUGUAUUGCAAGAUACAGAACACUUUUCUGCACCACCCAAAGAGGAUGACGUCAUGCACACCGACACUGCUUCUGGCAGGAACUGCACUGCGACACUCUAGGCCAAGACACUUAACAGCAAAUGGAGCAACUUCAGGCUGCAAAAUGACCAUAUGAACAGGCUGCUGGACUUCCUAAGCAUCUCCUGGCAGGCACCAUUCUCACACCAGUACACCGAGGCAGCCAUUGCCAAGGUCACCGUCUUGUUCAGCAAAUAUCCAGGCUACUGGCUCACAGGCUCAGCGACAGUCUAGCAGCUGGAUGUGUAAUGUGGAAUGUGCAGUACGCAUCCAUGUCCACAAAAUAUUCUUGUACUUCCAUUAAUAUACAGCAACUAGUCUCCUAUUAUA